rnacentral:misc_RNA from 1 species
GCAACAGAAUUGAGUGUGAGACCUCUUUCUAUACUUUACACAACUAUUUCACACAUAAUUUACAUGCUUUAUUUCCAAUUUUGCUUAGUUUUGAGCCUUGACGGUAAGCAUUGAAACAGAGGCUCAGCUUGAGCUAAAUAUAAAGAGAAAACAUGAGAAAGUCAAAUUUUACACUUGGAUUUGAGUCUGCUACCAAGUUUGUCUUGCGAAUAGAAAGGAAAAAAUUUAGACUAGCAUUUUCCAUUGUCCGCUACCCAGGAAGCUGAUCUCUUUGGCAACAUCAGAGAAAACCCAGUUUGAGAUCUGUUCCCAAAUGCCAACUUUACCAUAAUUUCAC